GUUAAAGAAUACCCACCUUUUGACAUUGUUAUCAAUUGAUACCUGGAUGAGAAGAAUUCAACAAACAACUUUAGCCAAGAUUCUGGUGCUUGGGGUGCACAGAUAUUUGCAGUAGGUUUAGUCUUUCUCCAGAUGGCUGGACCAUAACAUGUAUACUCAGGAGCUGAAGGCAGCCAUGUUUUUUGCCGUUGUGGAUGGAGAUGUAAAAGCCUUACAGGGUUUCUACAGUUAGAAUGUUUUUGGCUACAAGCAACCCUUCCAUCUCCAACAUGGAUUCCAACUAAAAC